rnacentral:rRNA from 1 species
ACACGUAUGAAAGACAAGCUGAAAGACUUUUCUCAAUGAUGUAAGUGGUGGUGCAUGGUCGUUCUUAGUUCGUGGAUUGAUUUGUCUGGUCUAUUCCGAUAACGAGCGAGACCCCGGCGUUCCUAAUAGGGGUAGCAGCCAGGCUCGCCGCGCAAGCGGCUUGCUAGCACGCUACCUAAGAUGCUUCUUAGACGUAUCAGAGCCGAUAAGGUUCUUGAAAUGGGUUAAUAACAGGUCAGUCAUGCCCUUAGAUGUUCUGGGCCGCACGCGCGUUACAAUGGUAAACAUUAGAAAGUGCUCUAGCGGCGUUUCCGCAGCCGACGGGUUGUGGUAA